rnacentral:lncRNA from 1 species
UGAGAACAUCUCCAGGAACCUCAUCUGAUUCCAACAAUUUUCGGGGUUAUCGCUACGACGUGUUCUUAAGCUUCAGAGGCGAAGACACUCGCAAGACUUUUACCGACCACCUCUACACAGCCUUGAACAACGCAGGAUUUCUUACGUUCCGAGACGACGAUGAACUUGAGAGAGGAGAAGAUAUAAAGCCAGAACUGCAGAAAGCGAUACAGCAGUCACGAACUUCUGUUGUCGUGUUUUCGAAAGAUUACGCGUCAUCCAGGUGGUGUCUUGAUGAGCUUGUGCUGAUCCUUGAACGCAAGAGGACCACCUCGGACCAUGUAGUUUUACCAGUCUUCUACGAUGUCGAUCCGUCCCACGUGAGGAAGCAGACAGGAAGUGUUGGAAAAGCAUUUGCUAGAAGCCAGAAAAAUCAGUCGUCGGAAAAGGUGGAGGGAUGGAGGAAGGCACUUGCAGAGAUUGCAGACCUAGCAGGCAUGGUCUUAAAAAAUCAAGCUGAUGGGUAACUUUCAUUAUCUCCAUUUCUCUUCUCUUUGUUGGGUCAAUUUGAUGUAUGAUCCGUAGUGACAUAGAUUUUUAUAUAUUUAUUAAUUCAAUCUCAGUAGUGAAUAAUAAUCCCAAUUUAGGUCAACUUAAAGAAAGCACACUCAACUCAACUUAAGGAUUAGUCAUUUUCCAUGUUAAUCUACUGGUUUCCAGGUGCUUAAAUUUUGUUUGAAAGCUGGUGUGGAAAAAAGUUAGGAUGUGAUCUGUUUUGUAUUUGUCUAUAGUUUGUAUAAAUUAUGCGCUGUAUUCUUUUUUUUUUUCAAUUUAAUUUUGUCAGGCAAUCAACAUAUGUUUUAAUUAUCUAAUUUCCCCAAUUCAUUUUUCAUUUUGUUUGCAAAUUCUUAGGUACGAGGCAAAGUUUAUCGAAAAAAUUGUUAAAGUGAUAGAAGACAAGUUAAGUCGUAUGCCAUUGAGUGUUGAACCAAAAUUGAUUGGUAUUCAAUAUCAAGCCGAACGCAUCAAUUUGUGGUUACAAGAUGGAUCAAGUGGUGUUGGUAUAUUUGUUGUGUAUGGCAUGUCUGGAAUCGGGAAGACAACCAUUGCAAAACAUGUUUACAAUUCAAACUUUAGAAGCUUUCAAGGAAGUAGUUUCAUUGAAAAUAUCAAAGAAACAGCAGAUCGACCAAAUGGCUUAGUUCAAAUACAAAUGCAACUUCUUUGUGAUAUUUUGAACGGCAGAGAAGUGAAAAUACACAGUGUUAGUGAGGGAAUAAUUAAGAUUGAAAAGGCCAUAAGCUCUAAAAGAGUUCUACUUGUUCUUGAUGAUGUUGACCAUAUGGACCAAUUAGAUGCAAUCCUAAGGAUGAAAGAUCAGUUUUAUCCUGGAAGUAAGAUACUAAUAACAACUAGGCGUGAAAGGUUGUUAAAGGCUGAUCAAGUUACAGAGGUGCACAGAGUUCAAACUUUGGAUGACAAUGAAUCAUUAAAGCUUUUCAGUUGGCAUGCUUUUGGCCAGGACCAUCCCAUAGAAGAAUACAUGGAGCACUCAAAACAGAUAGUGCAACAUAGUGGCGGACUUCCAUUAGCUCUAAAAGUUUUGGGUUCUUCUUUAUCAGGAGGAAGUAUAGGUGUAUGGGAAAGUGCAUUGGAGAAGCUAAAAGUUAUUCCUGAUGGUGAAAUCAUGAGUAAACUAAGAAUAAGCUAUGAAAGUUUAAAAGAUGACCAUGACCGGAAAUUAUUCCUCCACAUUGCUUGUUUCCUAAUAGGAAGGAACAAAAGCUACAUUGUUAGAAUAUUCGAUGGAUGUGAUUUCUAUACAAUCAUUGGCAUUCAAAAUCUCAUUGAUAGAUGCUUGGUGACACUUGAUGAAUACGGCAAGGUGGAAAUGCAUGACAUGAUUCGUGCUAUGGGAAGAGAAAUUGUUCGCCAAGAAUCAGAAGAGCCUGAGAAACGUAGUAGAUUAUGGCACCAUAAGGAUUCUUUCCAAGUAUUGAGGAAAAAGAAUGUAAGAAACAUGCCUUUUAUGUCUAUAUAUGUAUUUCUUCUUGUGAAAAUUACGCAUAUUAAUGUCUCUUUUUUUUCCUUUAGGGUACAAAAAAAAUCCAAGGUCUUGUCCUGGAUAUGCGUAACCAUCCAGCAAACAGUCCAAUAAACACAAAUGAGAUAGUCUUGGAAACCAAUGCAUUUGCAAGGAUGUGCAAUUUACAACUACUCCAUCUUAGUCAUGUACGACUGGAUGGAUGUUAUGCAGAUUUCCCUACAGGAUUAAGAUGGUUGUGUUGGCUUGAAUUUCCUUUGGAUUCUAUACCAAUUGAUUUUCCUUUGGAGAACGUAAUUGUUCUUGAAAUGCAAUACAGUAGCUUGAGACAAGUAUGCAAAGGAACAAAAGUAUGUUACUCUAUGCAUUUCAAUUCAUUUUCCUUAUUUUGUUAGUUUUUUAUUUGUUGACCAACUCCAUGUGUUAAAAUGAACUACUAUGUUUUCUUUAAUUCGAUGACUAAUUUCUUAUGUUAGAUACUUAUUUCAUUGUUCUUUUUUCUUUUCUUUUUUUCCCUCUGUUUCCACAGUUUCUUCCAUCGUUGAAGAUCCUUGACGUCAGCCAUUCUCAUGGUCUUAGUGAAACCAUUGACUUCUCACGUUCCUCCAAUCUAGAGGAACUAAUUCUUGUAGAUUGCACAAGCCUGGAGAAUGUUCAUGAAUCCAUUGGAAACCUGGAGAGACUCGUGUACUUGAAUAUGAAGGAUUGCAAGAAUCUUAGGAAGCUUCCGAAGAACAUGUGCAAGCUUAAAUCACUUGAAAUACUCAUUUUAUCUGGUUGCUCAAAUCUUGAUGAGGUUCCAGUGGAGAUGAUGAAGAAGAUGGAGUCUCUGAAAGUUCUUGAGACGGAUGGAAUUCCAAUAGGUGAAUUGUGGCCAGAAAGAAGUUCAACUAUCUUGAGUUCUUUUCCGUGCUCUUUGGUAGAGUUAAGUCUGAAGGGGUGCAAUCUUUCUGAUGAUGUCUUUUCUACGGAUUUAAGUGCUCUAUCCUACUUGCGAAGACUACAUUUGGAUGAGAAUCCAAUUUGCAGUCUGCCAGUUUUCAUCAAAGGUUUGAGGAGGAUCGAUGAACUCUCUUUCAAGGGUUGUGAUAGGCUCGAAUCGCUUGUGGGGUUGCCGGAAGUACACCAAAGGCUAAGUAUAAAAGAAUGCAUAUCAUUAAAAAAAAUAACUUUUCAUUCCCCUGGGCAACAUUAUCUAACACGUGUAUUUUGCCAUGACAACCCGAAUCUUGUUGAGUGUGAGUGCUAUUACAAGUUAGAGCCUAUUGAUAGAGUUGAUGUGGAAAUGAUCAAACUUUUGGGCUUGUGCAACUUGGAAUCCAUGCCAGCUGUUCGAAUGCAUCAUCCACUCACAAACUGGGAUCUAAUAGAGGUCCCCGUCCAGGUGCGCCUCUUUUUCUCUCUCUCUCAUAAGUCUUAAAUAUAUAAUGGGAAAGAAAUGACUGAGUAAUGUUGUGAUGACUGUGGCAAAUACAUAGGGACUGUAUCAACAUGGUAUAUUCAGCACCUUUUUUGUUGGGAAUGAGGUUCCAGGCCUGUUCAGCUAUAAAAGUACCAAGUCCUCGAUAUCUUUUAUUGUCCCUUUACUACUUGCUAGUCACAGAAUUCGAGGCUUGAACAUCUUUGCUACCUAUGCAAAGGAAAAUUCAAAUAAUUAUUCUACUAGACCUAAUAUUGGUCCAAUAAUGAUCAAAGUGAGAAACAAGAGUAAGGGUCUGAAGUGGAUCUAUGACCCAUUUUUCUAUGGAAUCCCAAGUGACGGAGAAGAUAUGAUAUGGUUGAGCCAUUGGAAGAUGGAGAAUAAAACAAUAUUACAAUGUGGAGAUGAAGUGGUGGUUUCGGUAAUAACUGGACCACGUGACAUGUUUUGGGUCAAGGAGUUUGGUGUCGAGCUUGUGCAAGAGCACCAAGACAAGAUGAGUACCCAACACAACACCAAAUCUGAUCCUAAUUAUCCAUUUGUUAUUGAUGGAGAUUUGAAGAUGUUUGAGGACAGACCGGGAAAAUACUUCCUUGGCAGUUAUUUUAUAGAAGAAAUUGAUGACAUUGAUAUCCUCACCAUGGACUCUGAUGAAGAAGACACAAGUAUGUUGUGUUGUUGUAUUGCAUUGAAUUAUACUUCAUCCAAACACUUCCAGGUGUGUCCGUAUUCAUUUCAAAAACGUUUCCAAUAAAUUUUAUGUUAUUUGUAUGUUUUUCAGACAAAGAAGGGCAAGAGGAUGAACCUGAUUACACAAUUGCAAAGACGAGGGCUGCUAGCAAUAACUGCAGCCUGAGAGGCUGGAAGGUGCGCCUCACAGCUGUCGGCUUCUUUUUCGCGCUUGCUCUAGUAGGUUGGUCCUCCAUCUCCCAAAAAAAGAAGCGACAAUCGUCCACAAGCCCACCAUGAGUUUGUAAUUUGACUUCAAAUGUGCUUGCUCUAGUAGCUAAGCACUCUUAACCGCUUGAGAUAUAAAAGCCCAUUGCAACUAGAUACUGAACUUCAAAUGUGUUCAACGCCAUCAAAUAUAGCAUAAAAUACAUCCAGCAUUAGGUUCCAAGCCCACUAUUGAAAAUCAUGUUCAUCCACUCUACACAUCCAAGGCAGCAAACUAACUAGGAUACCAGGUUGGGAGGAUACAAUCAUUAACAAUUUCAAAAGCUAUAAAUGCAAUCCGAAUACAUGGCAAGUAGGGGUAAGCAUGUGAACAAAAAAAUCAGUGAACAUAAUCAAAUCCAAUACGUCAAUUUUGGCCUAGAUUGAAAUGAAAAAAACAAGGAAAUGCUUUGUGUAUCGAUUUGUUUAUGAAGGAAAUAAAACAUAUUUCAUGGAAAGAAAACCUGUGGUUACCUUUGUCUUCCUCUGCCAUUUGUCUAUCGAUUUGUUUCUGAAAGUGGCUAUUCUACAAGAUACAACAUGACAGGUCUUAGUUAGACCAAGUAAACGGCAUGGAAAUGCUUUCUGAAGCAAGAAUGUGUACUCAAGAGCUUUGUGCCAGAGAGGUCGUCGUACCCAGUGCACAAGGCUCCCGCUUUACGCAGGGUCUGGGAGAGGUGAAUGUCGGCUAGCCUUACCCCUAUUUAUGGAGAGGACUUAAGAAAAAUGAAAAAAACAAUAUAGAAUAUGGGUAAGAAUAAAUUUCGAUUAGACAAUAAUUCACUGUAUAAAUCGUUUUUUCAACUUUAAAGUGUGGCUUAAAAAGAAGCUUUAAACAAGUAGCAAUAAUUUCAUAUUGAAAAAUAAAACCUAUUUCAUGGAUAUUACAAGAGCCAUUAUUUUGAAAAACACACCUUUUGGUUCUUCACCACUUGACUUUUAAGAAGAUCUUCGUCCUUGUGACGAUUCAAAUUCUUUAAAAUAUCUCUACGACGGAAUAAACAAAACCAAUCUAGGCCAAAAUUGACUUGUUCGAUUUGAUUAUGUUCACUGAUUUUUCUGUUCACAUGUUUACCCCUACUUGCCAUAUAGUUUUGGGGUGUUAGUGCAUAGUGCUCUUCUCUUUACACACCAGUUUCAAUUUUAUUCUUCGUAAAUUAAGAGACCGUUUGAUAAUCAUUUCGUUUUCAAUUUAAAAAAUAUAAAAAACUAAAUGAAGUUUUCAACUAGAAUUUUCGCUUUUGGUUUUCAAUUUUAAUUUUUUUUAAAACAACUGAAAACUAAAAAUAGUUGCAAAAAGAAUUUUUCAUUUUUUUUUAAUUUAUAAAAAAGUAAAAACUGAAAACUCUAAACUAUAGACUAAAAAUUAAAAAGUGAAAUCGAAAUGGGCUCUCAACAAAAUUGAAAAAAGACUGGGCUGAAUUACUGAAUUCAAAGCAGGGCUUAUUAACGUUACGAGGCCCAAUGGAUCUGGAUAAAUAUUUUUCAUUUUUUUUUAACAAACGAUAUUAUUUAUAUAGGCUUAAUUUUACAGUGGGCUAACAAUAAUGUGGUUCAAAUUUGCUUUUCGCAAGAAUAGAACCUAAAACUUCUCACUUAUAAAUGAAGAGGAAUACCACUAAACCGUAGUCCUGAUAGAUUCGUUAUUUUAUUUUAUAUUUUAAGAAAAAAGAAAGAAAGCAAUGAAAAGCUGUACAUAAAAUAAAUACAAAAAGGAAUGAAAUGAAGAAGAGUGGGAGACUAAUGUUUAAUUCAAGAUAAAGAAAGAAAGCUGAUCGCACCACGACGGCGGCGACGUGGCGGUCAUUUAACGGAAAAUAACAGACAAAUCAGCCUCCAGAUCAAAUCUUGAAGCACAACUCUGAAAAAUCGAGACUACCAACAGCUGAGCUCCGACCAACCGUUGAUGGAUGCAAUCAGGAAGCUCAGAGAUCAGGUCGCCAAGCAACAGCAGGUACUCCCUCUCGUUUGAUUCCGAAUUUGUAUUUCUGUAUGGAUUUUGAUAUGAACAUAAUCUGCGUUGAUUGCGAGAUACUGAGAUUGCUUAAUGAAAUAAUAUUUAUAUAAUUGUUCGAGUUGAAUUGGAUCGAUUCGAAUUCAAAUAGAAUGUCACUAUUUCUGAGCUGUUUGGGGAUGUGUUGGAGUGCAAUGUUGAUGAAUUUCUGAAAUUUUGAGCUAGGUGUUGCUAAUUACUUAUCGAUUUUUGAUGUAAUUGGAUGCUUAAUUUUUACAUUUUCGGAAAACUUCAAACGAAAAUGGCAUAUAAUUCAACGUUCUAUGCUUCAUUAAUGCAUAAGAGUUGGUCGAAGCUUGAUCGAGUUUGCUUUUGGUUAUUUUGUGAACACCGUCAGGCUGUGUUCAAACAAUUUUCUGGUGGCAUAUAUGGGGGAUCGGAUAAUGUUGCCUCGGAUGAAAAUGAAUUUCAACAGCAUCAGAAACUCGAGAAGCUGUACAUAUCAACUCGUGCUGCCAAGGUUGCUACGCUUAUUUUUGUCUGUGCUUUAAACGAGCAUCACGUUAGUUGUGUUACCUAUCGUUUUUUUGCUUCAUCUUUAACAGCAUUACCAAAAGGAAAUUGUCCGCGGAGUGGAAGGUUACAUUGUGGCCGGUUCAAAGCACGUUGAAAUAGGUAUGUUGCUUGAAAUGCGUUGUCUUUUCUUUGGAGUUUGGAUAUGAAUUCAUGCUGGUUUUAUCAGUUGGUAUACAUAAUAUUUUUUCAACAGGUACCAAGCUAUCAGAAGAUAGCAGGAAAUAUGGUUCUGAAAAGACUUGCACCAGUGAUAACACAUUGUCGAGAGCUGCACUUAGUUUUGGAUGAGGUGGGGCCCAAAUGGAAAAAGAGUGCGGAGUUCUACUUAAAGCCCUUGGCACACAGGUUUAAGUCAAAUUAUUACUAACAGAGGCUAUUAAGUAAAAAUCAAAUAUUGCCAGGGCCGGCUUCAUACAAAUGGAAUUUCAACUGACUAAUUUUCGUGUGCAUUUGAUCAUUUCGAAAGAAAUUUACAGCAAAAAUUGUUUUCAUUUCCACGUCGUGGUUCAAGAAUUGGACUACUUUUUGUGUUUCUAUGCAUCGUAUGACAAACUGGCUCACCAUUUCUUUCUAUAGGUUUGCAUAAUAACUCUUUGUGUGCUUAUCAAUUUGCCUGUGUAGGUUGCAUAGCCUUUAUAGUGGGAGCGCCCAUGGAGGAUGCUCGACAUCUUGCUCAACGUUAUGCUAGAAUGCGGCAAGAAGCUGAAGCUCAGGUAUAUGCAGUUUCUUCUGUUUCCUACCAAUUUUAUUCUACAGUGAUUUUAUAUCCAAAACAAGCAUUGACUUGGCUGUCCAUCCAUCAAUAGCAGGUCCACAUCUCAACCCAAAUAUAAUGACGUCAAAGGAGAGGGGAAAAUGAGAAGGAAACUCUGGAGGGUAGAGGGAAGGAAAAGGGGAAAAGGAGAAAGGGAGAAGGGAAAAGUAGAACGGGAAGGAGGAAAAUGAGAGGAAAUUUCGGAGAAUAGAGAAAGGGAGAAGGGAAAAGAAGAAAAGCAGAAAAGAAGGGAAAAGGGGAAGGAAGCUUAGGAGGCUAGAGAAAAAGAUGGAAAUGCAUAAAAAUAAAAAAAUAAAAAAGGAAAGUCGCCUUCAUCAUUAUGUCUACUAACGGAAAGGAGCAACCACAUUGUAAAUUAUAUUUUGUAUAAUGAGAAACCAGUAUUCCUACCCUGAGGGUAUAGACACAACUUGCUGAAUCUCGUUACUAUACAGCAAGUUUAUAAUUGCACAAUAAUUCGAUCAAUCAUCUUAAGUUCAACCAUACAUGUAACAAGAUUUAAGUUUUUCCAAACUUUCCUUAUGAAGGUAACUGAACAUUACAAGUGUCACGUUAUUAUGCGAUUCUAUCAAGUUUUAAUUUUUGUCUCAUAACCACAUUACAAGUGCCACGUUAUUUAUUUUAUCCUUUAUUUUAUCUUUAUUAUUAAAACUUAAAAUUUUCAUAUUUUUUUAUUAAUUUUUUUUUAUAAAAUCACACGUAAAACAAGAAGUAAUCUUUUCUUUUUCUUUUCAUCUCUGCCACUAGCGGCCGACCAUGACUUAAAGAAACGCUUUUUGGAUGGGUCAAUGUAUGGGAACGACCCAUUUUAUAUGUUACAUGGUUGUGCAAUUAAAAGUGCAUUUUAUCAUAAAAAUGUGAGCAACGAUCAAUAUAAUUGUUAUUUAUAAAAUCACACAAAACACAAGAAGGAAUCUUUUCUUUUUCUUUUUCAUCUCUGCCACUACCAGCCGACCAUGACUUAAAAGAAACGCUUUUUGGUUCAAUGGAUGGGAACGACCUAUUUUAUAAUAAGAAAAAUUAAUUAAAAAAAUUUAAAAAUUUUAAGUUUUAAUAAUAAAAAGAUGUUGUAAAUAAAUAGUACAUAAUUGAUUUUUUUAGUAAAAGUAUAAUUUUUUAUUAAAAUUUCGUUCAAAUCCCCUUUAUAAUAUUGUUUGUAAAUUUUUCUGGAAGUAGAUGGAAAUGACCCAAUUACAUAUUUCCCCUGCUCACAGACAUUUUCAUUGCACCUAGAAAACCAGUUUUUUGUUAGAAAAUCGAUCCACAUCAAUGGCUCUUGUGAGAACAUCUCCAGGAACCUCCUCUGAUUCCAACACUUUUCGGAGUUAUCGCUACGACGUGUUCUUGAGCUUCAGAGGCGAAGAUACUCGCAAGACUUUUACCGACCACCUCUACACAGCCUUGAACAACGCAGGAUUUCUUACGUUCCGAGACGACGAUGAACUUGAGAGAGGAGAAGAUAUAAAGCCAGGACUGCAGAAAGCGAUCCAGCAGUCACGAACUUCUGUUGUCGUGUUUUCGAAAGAUUACGCUUCAUCCAGUUGGUGUCUUGAUGAGCUUGUGCUGAUCCUUGAACGCAAGAGGACCAC